ensembl:lncRNA
CUAGAAAUACCAGACAGACACACUCUUCUGGAAUACUCGGGCAGAGACAGACAGAUUGAAUACUCAGCGACAGACCGACAGACUGCAUACACUGAGAGAAACCGACAGACUCAUCUAGAAUACUCUGAGAGAGACAGACGGGCAGACUACUCAGAGAGAGACAGACGGGCAGACUACUCAGAGAGAGACAGACGGGCGGACUACUCGGAGAGAGACAGACGGGCGGACUGCUCGGAGAGAGGCAGACGGGCGGACUACUCCGAGGGAGGCAGGCGGGCGGACUACUCCGAGGGAGGCAGGCGGCCGGACUACUCCGAGGGAGGCAGGCGACCGGACUUCUCCGAGGGAGGCAGACGGGCGGACUUCUCCGAGGGAGGCAGACGGGCGGACUUCUCCGAGGGAGGCAGACGGGCGGACUACUCCGAGGGAGGCAGACGGGCGGACUACUCCGAGGGAGGCAGACGGGCGGACUACUCCGAGGGAGGCAGACAGGCGGACUACUCCGAGGGAGGCAGACAGGCGGACUACUCCGAGGGAGGCAGACAGGCGGACUACUCCGAGGGAGGCAGACAGGCGGACUACUCCGAGGGAGGCAGACAGGCGGACUACUCCGAGGGAGGCAGACAGGCGGACUACUCCGAGGGAGGCAGACAGGCGGACUACUCCGAGGGAGGCAGACAGGCGGACUACUCCGAGGAGGCAGACAGGCGGACUACUCCGAGGGAGGCAGACAGGCGGACUACUCCGAGGGAGGCAGACAGGCGGACUACUCCGAGGGAGGCAGACAGGCGGACUACUCCGAGGGAGGCAGACAGGCGGACUACUCCGAGGGAGGCAGACAGGCGGACUACUCCGAGGGAGGCAGACAGGCGGACUACUCCGAGGGAGGCAGACAGGCGGACUACUCCGAGGGAGGCAGACAGGCGGACUACUCUGAGGGGGAACUGGACGAAGACCAAGAACACACACAUCAUCACAGUGAACACACACAUCAGCACAGUGAACACACACAUCAGCACAGUGAACACACACACUUCGAGCAGGCCCCAGCAAGCUGGCUCAGUGUUCCACAGGUGUAUCUGCUGCCGGACACACCCGCAGCAAAGAGGGUUGUCGGCCCCAGCCACCUGUCCAAAUACCUGAAAGUGAAGGGCCUUCACAACACAGAACCGAUCAUAGGUCUGGGCAGUGUGGUGGAGUGUAGAGGUAUAUCCCAGGCUACGUUUUUCAUGUGUGUGAGCUGUGCUGAGACUCUCUCCAGUACACACAUCUGUGAACACAUCAUCAGCGCGCAACACCAGCAGUGCUACAUGUUUUCCCAGUAUAGUCCUAUGCGCUGUGAUUGGUUGAGAGAGCAGCAGCAGCCUCCGAGUCCACAGCUCCUCAGGAAGGUUGCUUCAGCACUGUCACAACUGGAGGUGGAUCUAGAUGCACAGGUGAUGCUGCUGGAUCAGAUGUGGUAUAACCUUGUGAAGUCAGCUCCAUUCUACGAAGCCAUGUACAUGCUGCAGGAACAGAAUCAGAAUGCCCUGUGUCUACACACAGCAAGCAGACAUCAGCUUUUUCCCCCAGUUGGUCCUGACCCAGCAACGGAGCAGGGCUUUGACCAGAACCACAGAGUGAUGGAUAAACUGACCAUGGAUCAGAUUGAGCCCCAUCACCCCCUGCAGACAGCAGAUACAGUGGCUGGUAAACUGACUGGAGAUCAGCUGGAGUCAGGCCAGUGCAUACAGACCGCAGACAGACGGCCAGAUAAUCAGAACCCGGAUCAGCCCCAGUGGAGCCAGAGCUCAGAGAGAACAGAGAUGGUCCCUGAGCCAAUAAGAGCCAAGACACCACAUAAUUCUGAGCCAAUCAGAGACCAGACACCACAGAACAUUGAGCCAAUCAGAGCCAAGACGUCAAAGAAUUCUGACCCAAUAAAAUUCCAGACACCACAGAACACUGGGCCAAAAAGAGCCUGGAUGCCACAGAACUCCUCAGAACCACAUCUGGACCAAGACAACACAGUCAUUGUCAAACAGGAGCCUGUGGACCCCAAGGUGGAACCUCAGCCCCAUCCUCAUACCCAGCCUGAGGUGGACCCCUUAAAGGGUGUGUGUGAGGUGGAGUACCAGGGGACCGUCCUAGCACACAGCCAAGAGGUGACACGAAUAGGAGGGGCCACAGAGAACUCCCUUCAACCCACCAAGAACUUGAGAGACUCCGUCAACAACAGCUUGCCUUUGGUCGGUCUCAGUGCAAUGAUAGAGUGUUGCAGUGAGGGCCAGGUGUCCUUCUACCUGUGUGUGUCGUGUGGCAGCAAAAUUGAAAAAACUCUACUCAUCAGCCACGUCCUCAAAUACAGACACCGACAGCUGUACCUGACAAUGAGGUACCCGUGGUAUUUCCUUGGUGUGGUACCAGCCCGAGGGUUGGCAGAACAGUCCAGACUGAUGCAGAUUGCUAAGGAGGUGGAGGAGCAGAACCAUGAUGAGCCUGGCACGCUACAGGAGGUGAUUCUGGCCCCUGCUGACUUUGCCGAGAUCAAACGGAUGCUGUUUGAUAAAGCUGUAUCCCGUUUGCAGGAGAUCUGUAGAGAGCAGAACCAGACUGAACUCCUCACCAUGGUCACCAGCAAACCUGAACCAAUAGUGGUCAAGCAGGAGAUUGUGGAGUGCCAGGUGGUCUCCCAUCAGGCCUUGGGGCUAUUCCUACCGCCACAGAGAUGUAGGAGAAACACGGGAAAACGUUGUUCUAACGUUGAGGGGUCAGAGGUGAGGGGUCAGCAGCAGGUGAAGAAGAGAAAGGUGUCCAGCCCCCCUGAGGGUCACACUGCCCCUGUCAUCUGUCUAUCAUCUCCUGAAGUCAUCAAGUCUUCUGAAACACACACUGUCAACCAGACACACAUCAUCACACCCUCACCCACACAAUCCAACACUAAGCCGAAACUCACAUACACACACUCUGACUCUCAAACUAAACUUAAACCUUCACGCACACACCCCAAACCCAGUUCAACAGCCCCAGAAUAUACUAGACCCAAACUCAUUCCCCAUUCUGCCACCAAGCCCUCCGGUAUCCCUGCCGACAGCCUGACUGUUGCCAAAGAGUCCUCUAGCAAGAAAGCCACUCACACACUGUGCAAACCCACACACACACUGUCCAAUAGCCAGAAGCUCACUGACAAACAUUCGGACAAGAAUGAGUCUCAGAAACAUACUGAAAAGGCUAAACCUACUCGCACACACAGUGAACGCACACACAGAAACCGCACACACACUCGCAAACACAGUGACCUCACACGCACUGACAAAGCCAAAGACGGACACAGUGACAAGACCAAACGCAGACACAGUGACCGCAAACACACUAACAGACAUUCUGACCACUCACGCUGUCACACCAGCUCUAAGAGACAUAAUCGUAGCUCCAGCCGUUCCUCCAAAGCCUCCCCCAGAGCUAGUCCCUCUGAGCCCCCUGCUCUCCCCCUACUCCCCGCUGCAUUCUCCCCCACCAGAGCCACUUCUGCGGCGAGCCUAAGCCAGGUCAAACCCAGCCAACCUUCCUGCCUAGUCAACAAACAACUACCCAAACAGUCCAGCCAACCAACCAAGAGACCUCCCAACCCAACCUCAGCAGUCAGACCUCUCCAGACCCAGGCCAACCCUCCCAACAACACCUCUUACCCCCACCUGCACCCAGAAAGAACCGGACCCAUGACCCCCCACUCGGACCCAUGACCCCCCACCCGGACCCAUGACCCCCCAACCCCCGGCAAUCCCUCCCUGCCUCACUCCUCCACCUCCACCCCAGCCAGGUCCUGUCUACGCCUCUGGGGUUAAGAAGAAGACUUCCAUUGUAGACUGUGAUCAAUUUGUGGAAUACUUUGUCUCUUUGUUGCGCUCCCCCCACUUUCCUCCUGCCCUAACCACCCCAGAGAGUGCAGAGAGCGCUGAGGCUCAUACCAGGGCAACAGGCCCUAACCCUGGAGGGGAGAAGAUGAGGGGUGACUCAAAAGGUCAUGCCAUCGCCAUAGUGGCGGCAUUACCCAACCCGCUAAAAAGGAAGCUAUCCCUACAGGAACCCGAGGACAGAGACCCCUGGAACUACGAGAGCCGACAGUUCACUCCCAACUCCAAACCUAACCCCAACUUCAAACCUAACCCAAACUUCCAGAACCCUGACUCCAAACCUAACCACAACUUCCAGAACCCUGACUCCAAACCUAACCACAACUUCCAGAACCCUAACUCCAAACCUAACCACAACUUCCAGAACCCUAACUCCAAACCUAACCACAACUUCCAAAACCCUAACCCUAAACCUAACCCCAACUUCCAGAACCCUAACUCUAACCCCAACUUCCAGAACCCUAACUCCAACUCUAACCCCAACUUCCAGAGUUAUACCCCCACUACCAAUGCCACACUAGCCCAGGGGGGUUACACUGGAGGGGUUACCGUUUCUUCUAGCCCUAACCCCACUGACCCACAGCCCCCAGAGAUUCUACCUGGUUACACCUACCCUGGUUACACCUACGCUGGUUACACCUACCCUGGUUACACCUACCCUGGUUCAGGUUACGCUGGAGUUGUCAGUGUUAGUCAGUUCACUUCCAACUCCCCCAUUAACCCUAUCCCCAGCCCCAGUAACACACAGUCACAGCCACAGGCAAGGUGGUCUGGGGGCAACUGGGGAACAGGCUACCCAGGGGCAGGCUAUGUUACAACAGGUCUAGCUGGUACUUCCUACCCUGGAGCUGUCUCUUCUGGAAGUGGACCUGGCUACCCUGGAGUUCUGCUCUACCCAGAGAUGGGCUACUCAGACAUGGACUGCCGUGGACAGGCUUACCCUAGGUCUGGGACUGGACUCGGCUCUACUGGGACUGUUAUGCCCCCAGGAAGCCUCUACUCUACCACACCAUCUCCAGCCAACCCCAGCUAUUUGGCCUUGACCCAGCCAUCACUUGACCCAGCCAGCUACUCCGCCUGGACUGCUACUGACACCGGGGUUGCCAUUGAAACCAGCACAGCAG